rnacentral:rRNA from 1 species
AUGGCGGCGGCAGCAGCAGCACCGUGCUGGUCCGACCUCCCAACCGAUCUCCUCACGAGCAUCGUGCAGCUCCUCGAGCUCCCGGGAGCCCUCGCCUUCGCGACCGUCUGCGCGUCAUGGCGCUCGGCCGCGGCUGCCGGCGGCGUCCCACCUCCGGGCACGCCAUGGCUCAUGUCCUGGGUACCAGAACCCCACCCAGCCAUCGGGCGCAGCCGCUCGGCCGUGACCUGCAAGCUCCGCAAUCUCCUCGACGUCGACAAGGCCUACAGCGUCACGUUCCCGGAGGGCACCUUCGUCACCUGCUGCGGCGCCUCCGACGGGUGGCUGGUGGUGGUGGACGAGCUCUGCAACCUCUCGCUCCACAACCUCUUCACCUCGCGCACGAUCCCUCUGCCGCCGGUCACCGCCUUCCCGCGGGUGGAGGCCGAGUACGACGACCAGGGGGAAAUCGAACGUUACCGUCUCAAAUCCCUAUACCAGCAUAGCCCAGAUGUUACGUACGGCGCGCAUCACCUGGCGACCUUCUUCUACCGGAAGGCGGUGCUGUCCGGCAGCCCGUCCAGAGGAGGCGGCGACUACGUCGUCACGGUCGUCCACUACGGCGGCGAGUGGAUCUCCUACGCCAGGGCCGGAGACGCCAGAUGGCGGGUGCUGGUUUCCAACCACUACUGGGGCCAAGAUCCCCUGAACGCCUACGCCGAGUGCGCGUACCACAACGGGAGGAUCUACGCCGUGACCUACAAGGGGGGCGUGGAGCGAUGGGUCCUCGACGACGCCGGAACGCCAUCGAAGAAGGCGGUGGCGCUGUUCCGGCAGUACGACGCCAGCCUCACCAGGCACCUGGUGGCCUCGCCGGGCGGCAGGCUGUGGCAGGUCAGCGCGGUGUGGGAGCCGGCACGCGCGGCGGUCCCGGACGGGAUCAGGUUCACGUUCCGCGUGGUGGACGACGACGACGGCGUUGAUGCCGGAGGAGGAGCCGGGGAGCGGGGGUCGAUGCAGGAGCACGCGCUGUUCCUCGGGAUGAACAAGUCGGCGUGUUUACCGGCGAGGAGUUUCCCCGGCGUGAGGCCUGGCGUGCUCUACUUCUCCGCGCCUUGGAUGAGGCAGUACGCUCCCGAGAUGCUCGAGCGGGUGGGUGACUGGGGAGGCGCCAGGGCUUAUGACCUCAAGACGAGGACGAGGACGUUCGAGCGCGUGUUCCCUGGCUUGCUGCCUGAGUCUGCACGGCUGAUGGACUGCCCUUCGGAGGUCUGGAUCACGCCCAAUCUGUACUAG